CAGCAGCUGUCUCUUCUCUUUCUCCCAACACAUACUUCCCAGAUGCCUUCAGAAGUGUUGAUAAGGAAUAGAUAAGCCUCUCCUAAGGCUUAUCAAAACCAUGGAAAGUUGAAAAGAGAAACUUCCUUAAAUGCCAGUUUAUUAAGAAGAACGAAAGUGUAUGAAAUCAGGAUCAAAGAUCUCAGCGCACAUUCCUGGCACUG
rfam:Microcebus murinus cont1.16598, whole genome shotgun sequence.